GGCUCAGUGGUAGGGUGCUUGUCUAAUGUGCUAGAGGCCCUGGGUUCAAUUCCCAG
rnacentral:tRNA from 1 species